AACAAUCUAGAUCUACACAGUUUGGACUGCACACCCGUGGCUGGCGUGGCUCGGAGUUGUCGCUGUUCUCCUGGACGAUGCACAUAUCCAAUACCACUUGAUGCACAUCCAGGCCGACAGUAUGAAGACUGUGUGGCAGCCUUGAAUACAAAGUGAAUGAAACUAUAUCAGCCUUCACAAGCUCUGAAAAAAUUUUAUGUAAUGAAGAGGAAUGCAACAAACUGAAGAAAAAGAGAAGAGGUCUGCAC
ensembl:lncRNA